rnacentral:misc_RNA from 1 species
UUUCCGUAGGUGAACCUGCGGAAGGAUCAUCCAUAAUAAAGUGUUUUAUGGCACUUUUUAAAAAUCCAUAUCCACCUUGUGUGCAAUGUUAGAUCUCGUCAAUCUUGGCGAGAUUUUUAUACAUCAACUCAUUCUUUAACUAAUUUGUCUGAAAAAUAUUAUGAAUACUUAAUUCAAAAUACAACUUUCAACAACGGAUCUCUUGGCUCCC